rnacentral:rRNA from 1 species
UAGAGUUUGAUCAUGGCUCAGAGCGAACGCUGGCGGCAGGCCUAACACAUGCAAGUCGAACGCCCCUUCGGGGGAGUGGCGGACGGGUGAGUAACGCGUGGGAAUGUGCCCUUUGGUACGGAACAACUGAGGGAAACUUCAGCUAAUACCGUAUGAGCCCUACGGGGGAAAGAUUUAUCGCCAUUGGAGCAGCCCGCGUUGGAUUAGGUAGUUGGUGGGGUAAAGGCCCACCAAGCCGACGAUCCAUAGCUGGUCUGAGAGGAUGAUCAGCCACACUGGGACUGAGACACGGCCCAGACUCCUACGGGAGGCAGCAGUGGGGAAUCUUGCGCAAUGGGCGAAAGCCUGACGCAGCCAUGCCGCGUGAAUGAUGAAGGUCUUAGGAUUGUAAAAUUCUUUCACCGGGGAAGAUAAUGACGGUACCCGGAGAAGAAGCCCCGGCUAACUUCGUGCCAGCAGCCGCGGUAAUACGAAGGGGGCUAGCGUUGCUCGGAAUUACUGGGCGUAAAGGGCGCGUAGGCGGACAGUUUAGUCAGAGGUGAAAGCCCAGGGCUCAACCUUGGAAUUGCCUUUGAUACUGGCUGUCUUGAGUUCGGGAGAGGUGAGUGGAAUGCCGAGUGUAGAGGUGAAAUUCGUAGAUAUUCGGCGGAACACCAGUGGCGAAGGCGACUCACUGGCCCGAUACUGACGCUGAGGCGCGAAAGCGUGGGGAGCAAACAGGAUUAGAUACCCUGGUAGUCCACGCUGUAAACGAUGAGUGCUAGUUGUCGGCAUGCAUGCAUGUCG